CCUUCGGACCAAAAUUGUUGUAUGGCUUGUGUGGGGCGAGGGGCACAACGUGAAUCCGUAAUAGGCCAUGGCGGGUGUCUUUUUAAGCAUCCAAGCCAUACAACAAUUUGGGGUUGGGAGGUGGCUUUAUAAAUCGGUGUAUGCUUAUUGUCGGAUGAUAUGGUUGCUUAUCGAUGUAUGGCUUGUGUGGGGCGAGAGGCACAACGUGGAACCGUAAAAGGACCUGCAAGGGUUUCCCAAACCACACAAGCCAUACAUCGGUUGUAAGUCGGAUGUCGCUAAUCGAUGUUUGGCUUGUGUGGGGAGAGAAGCACAACGUGGAACCGUAAAAGGACCUGCAAGGGUUUCCCAAACCACACAAGCCAUACAUCGGUUGUAAGUCGGAUGUCGCUAAUCAAUGUUUGGCUUGUGUGGGGAGAGAAGCACAACGUGGAACCGUAAAAGGAUCUGCAAGGGUUUCCCAAACCACACAAGCCAUACAUCGGUUGUAAGUCGCAAAACAACCACAAUUGUUGUAUUGCUUGGAUGUGUGCGAGAGGCACAACGUGAAUCCGUAAUAGGCCAUGGCGGGUGUCUUUUUAAGCAUCCAAACCAUACAACAAUUGGGGGGAUUAUUCUAGCGGGUUUCGUUCUCUUCGUAUCGUGC
rnacentral:misc_RNA from 1 species